rnacentral:rRNA from 1 species
CCUACGGGAGGCUGCAGUGAGGAAUAUUGGUCAAUGGGCGCGAGCCUGAACCAGCCAAGUCGCGUGAGGGAAGACGGUCCUAUGGAUUGUAAACCUCUUUUGUCGGGGAGCAAAAGACGCCACGCGUGGCGUUCCGAGAGUACCCGAAGAAAAAGCAUCGGCUAACUCCGUGCCAGCAGCCGCGGUAAUACGGAGGAUGUGAGCGUUAUCCGGAUUUAUGGGGUUUAAAGGGUGCGCAGGCGGAAGAUCAAGCCAGCGGUAAAAUUGAGGGGCGCAACCUCUUCGAGCAGUUGAAACUGGUUUUCUUGAGUGAGCGAGAAGUAGGCGGAAUGCGUGGUGUAGCGGUGAAAUGCAUAGAUAUCACGCAGAACUCCGAUUGCGAAGGCAGCAUACCGGCGCUCAACUGACGCUCAUGCACGAAAGUGUGGGUAGCGAACAGGAUUAGAUACCCCUGUAGUC